rnacentral:rRNA from 1 species
GUUAGGAAUAUUGGACAAUGGGCGAAAGCCUGAUCCAGCCAUGCCGCGUGAACGAUGAAGGCCUUCGGGUUGUAAAGUUCUUUAGCCGAUGAUUAUAAUGACUGUAGUCGGAAAAUAAGCCCCGGCUAACUUCGUGCCAGCAGCCGCGGUAAUACGAAGGGGGCGAGCGUUAUUCGGAAUCACUGGGCGUAAAGCGUGCGUAGGCGGUUUUGUAAGUUAGGAGUGAAAGCCCAGGGCUCAACCUUGGAAUUGCUCUUAAAACUGCAAGGCUCGAAUCUCGGAGAGGAUAGCGGAAUUUCCAGUGUAGCAGUGAAAUGCGUAGAUAUUGGAAGGAACACCAGUGGCGUAAGCGGCUAUCUGGACGAGUAUUGACGCUGAGGCACGAAAGCGUGGGGAUCAAACAGGAUUAGAAACCGUGUAGUCC